rnacentral:lncRNA from 1 species
GGCAUGUUUGUAUCCUGUCAGUCUGGAUAUACUUUAGACAACUUCCUAACUGGACAAGAGCUUGUGAUGCAUGCUACCAAUCCAUGUUACUCUCAGCCUCUCUUACACCCUUUAGCAUGAUGAUCAAUAAUUAGAAUUCUAGGAUUUUCUUUGUAUUAAUAUUGACUUAUGUAUGAGAGUCCUGUUGUAGCCCCUUCCUCCAGUCUAUUAGUUUCUUAAGCUUUACGACAAAUAUUGAUGGAGUAAAUAACAACUGUCAAACAUGGUUUGGGGAACUACUGAUAAAACUGAACACACCAUUAUCAUGCAAAGAUGUGAUGAUAUAGUUCAAUCACACAAAUGAAUCUCUUCAUCCUCAACUCAUAUUGGACUCUUUUGUCAAUAAAUUUAACAAAGUCUAGGCAUUUUCAGUUAACAAGUUGAUAAAGGCAGCCAUUCUGAAAUAUGAUAAUAAUACAUAUGAAUUUCAUACAUUAAACUUGAGUAAGCAAAAGAUUCAUAUUUUUUAAGGAGCACUUGAACUGAAAAUUUUCACAAAUGCCUUUUUGUUAUAAAGGCCUGUUUAAGCAAUAAAGUUUGGAUUAAAAUAAGGACAACAUAUCACUCAUUACUUAUAGUUGUAAAGUUGACAUUUGCUUUAUAUUACUUUGAGACAGUUUUUUUUUUGUUUGUUUUUUUUUGUUUUUUUUAUGUAAGAACACAAGGUAGUUUAAUGGUGGAGCAGAAGACAGUGGAUUCGACCAUGAGGCUUGGAAGCUAGGGGUUUUUUAAGAAAAGGGGUUGGGCUAGGGGAGGAAUUGGAGCGAUUUCACGUGAUUGGUUCAUUUAAACAUUAGCAGACUGUCAGAAGGGCAGGAGAUGGGGAGGCGCCGGGCCAGUCCAGCAUGUCAUUCUCUUUAUCUUUAUUUACCUUUAUGGCCAAGCAGCCCCAGGAAUGUCUUAACGAUGGGCCUGCCCAUGCAUGUCCUGGCCUGUUCUGCUAUGUUCUCGGCCCCAGGUUUCAAAGCUCACAAACAACUCUUUGGGCUAUUUGACAUAAAUUACAUGAAUCACAGAUCUCAAUUUUUUAUUUUCUUUCAUCCCCCUCUUCUUCUACUAAGUAAUUCUAAUCUUAGAAUUUUAAAAGCCUGUAUCUCCCAAUUCUUCUUCUAUCUUAAUUAUAGGCUGGUACUGAUGUCGUAAAACCAUGAGCUUGACCGCAUCUACUCUACUCUGAAUAAAAGCAAUCCCCUUAUUUAUUAUGCAGGGGCCAAAAAUUAAAACUAAGCAUAUAAUAAGACUCGGUCCAGCGAGGGCAGAAAAUAGAGUGGUCAUCCACAGAGACCGAGAAUACCAAGACUCGAACCAUCCCUGUUGAGCUUCUCGAUCUCGUCUUCUCUGAUCCAACCUUUCUCUCCGUUUCUGCAUAGAAUCUCUGACUAUUCCCGAGACAGCUUUUUUUAAUUAGAUAUUUUCUUCAUUUACAUUUCAGAUGCUACCCCCUUUCCUAGUUUCUUCUCUGAUAGUUCCCUAUAUCCUCCCUCUGCCCUGCUCCCCAACCCACCCACUCCUGCUUCCUGGCCCUGGCAUUCUCCUGUACUGGAGCAUAUAAUCUUCACAAGACCAAGGGCCUCUCCUCCCAUUGAUGGCUGACUACACCAUCCUCUGCUGCAUAUGCAACUAGAGACACAAGCUCCGGGGGGGUACUGGUUAGUUCAUAUUGUUGUUCCUCCUAUAGGGUUGCAACUCCUUGGGUACUUUCUCUAGCUCCUUCAUUGGGGGCCCUGUGUUCCAUCCAAUAGAUGACUGUGAGCAUCCACUUCUGUAUUUGCCAGGCACUGGCAUAGCCUCACAAGAAAUAGCUAUAUCAGGGUACUGUCAGCAUAACAAAGCCAGUCACUGAUAUUAUCUGAUACAGCAAAUUCCAGUAGAGUUCAGGGAGCCUACUCUUGAUACUUUCUCAGAAGUGACUGAUGCUCCAGUGUAUAAAGAUCAUGGCUCAAUAACAUUCACGUUUAGAAUUCAGCACAGAAAGAAAUAAAACAUUUCUCUGAUGGUUUGUCUUGAAGACCACAUAACAUUUGUGUUAGAGGAAGAAACACAUUUCUGUGUGUAUUUAUAUAAACAUUUCAAGCAAAGUGGGAAAAAAAAUGAGCCCUAAAUAUUCACACAGUGUUGAAAGAAUGUAUCUGCCAAAUGCAUAACAAGAGAUUUUUACAUUCAUAUCAAAGUUAAAAGAACAGAUUAUAUAAAAAUAUCUCUGAUUUUUCAGAUAGUUUCUGAGGAUAUUUUCAUCAUGUGACUAAUUUUUUUCUAAAGGCAGAAUCAUGACAGGUAUUAGAUGUAAAAAAAAAAAAAAAAAAGUAGGAGGAUUUACUUAUUUCAUGGGAGUGGUUUAGCCAUAAGUAUUACUUCUGGGGAAGUUCCAUACGGUAGUUAGACCAUCAGGUUCACAGAGUGUCUAUUGGUUACCAUCAUGGUGGUGUGGCUAUUGGUUAGUGC